ACGCUCGACACCUACGGGAGCAGCAGUGGGGAAUAUUGCACAAUGGGGGAAACCCUGAUGCAGCGACGCCGCGUGAGUGAAGAAGUAUUUCGGUAUGUAAAGCUCUAUCAGCAGGGAAGAAAAUGACGGUACCUGACUAAGAAGCCCCGGCUAACUACGUGCCAACAGCCGCGGUAAUCUGAGCGGGCUGGCAAGGC
rnacentral:rRNA from 1 species